rnacentral:rRNA from 1 species
AUUGAACGCUGGCGGCAGGCCUAACACAUGCAAGUCGAACGUAUAGCGGAGGGGUGAGUAGUGUCGUGGAAACCGCCUGAUGGACGGGGCUUACUACUUGAAAUGGUAUCUAAUACCGCAUACAAUCAGAUGUGCACAGCGGUGAUUAGCUAGUGGGUGGGGUAACGGCUCACCAAGGCGACGAUCCCUAGCUGGUCUGAGAGGAUGACCAGCCACACUGGAACUGAGACACGGUCCAGACUCCUACGUGAGGCAGCAGUGGGGAAUAGUGCACAAGGGACGAAAGGCUGAUGGAGCAAUGCCGCGUGUAUGAAGAGGGCCUUCGGGUUGUAAAGUACUUUCGUCGGGGAGGCGUUACCCACAGAAGAAGCACCGGCUAACUACGUGCCAGCCGCCGCGGUAAUAC